rnacentral:rRNA from 1 species
AUGAACGCUGGCGGCGUGCCUAAUACAUGCAAGUCGAGCGAACGGACGAGAAGCUUGCUUCUCUGAUGUUAGCGGCGGACGGGUGAGUAACACGUGGAUAACCUACCUAUAAGACUGGGAUAACUUCGGGAAACCGGAGCUAAUACCGGAUAAUAUUUUGAACCGCAUGGUUCAAAAGUGAAAGACGGUCUUGCUGUCACUUAUAGAUGGAUCCGCGCUGCAUUAGCUAGUUGGUAAGGUAACGGCUUACCAAGGCAACGAUGCAUAGCCGACCUGAGGGGGGGAUCGGCCACCGUGGAAUGGGGACCGGGCCCAACCCCGGAGGGGAGGCACGGGUGGGAAUUUUUCGGGAGGGGGCAAAGGCGUGAGGGGCAAAAGCGGGGGAAGUGAGAAGGGGUUUCGGUGCGUAAAACCUGGUUUAUGGGGAAAAACAUAGUGUUAAGAAAAGGGGAAAUUUUGAGGGUUCCUGAAUAAGAAGCCCCGGCUAAAUACGGG